UCUCUCUCUCUCUCAGCCUCUCAAGUUUCAUCCUCAAAAUUUACAGUUUUUAUUCAUCAAUAUUUCAUUUUCUCCGCCGCGAAGUUGCUUAUUAGUCAAAGGCCGAUGCAGAUCGAGGCCAAUCGGGAAUGAUGCACAAGAUUAGAAGAGAGCACAGUGCUAGCGUUACGCCAAUCGGACUUAAACCCUAAGUCCCUCCAAAGAAAGGGCUCCUGUUGUGUGGUGGAAGGAAGGGAUGAUGUGAUGGGGUUUGAUAGAGGGGCAAAAACUAUAAAGGAUUGUUGUGAACUCACCUUUGAAUGUAUGUUUCAAGGGCAGAAAUUAAUCAACAUCUUGAGAGUAACAUUACCAAGAAGAACAAAGAAUAUCAUGAUGUGUUUGAAUAGCACAGAUAGCUAAUAAAGGAGGCUUCAAAGGUUGGAAGUAUUUUGUUGUUGUGGAUGAUGUGUAGACCAAGCAAGAUAGGAAUUACUUGAAAUUUGUUUUCUCCAAUAAAAUGGGAAGCAAUAGAGUCCUCUUCACAUCUUAGCAUGGGCAUGCAGCUAUACGCAGAUACCUUCUCGUAAACUGCACCCUUCAAAAUUUGUAAGAAAUGAGGACAGUUGGGAGUUACUGAAGAGGAAGGGUUUUAUCAAAGAAAGUUGCUUUAUUGAGCUCGAAAGGGACGGGGAAUGCAUUGCUAUAAAAUGCGGUGGACUCCCACUGGCAGAAGUAGUGAUUGUUGGUGUCUUUGUCCAAUACACUAGCAACAAUUGCUAUUGCAAGUGGUAAUCCAUUGCACUUUAUAGCUAUAUGUUUCUGCCCUGUUUUAGCUCAAAAGGACAACUUCCCUUGAGAAGAACCUUCUUCUAGUAACUCCCAACUUUCAUCAUUUCUUUAAAAUUUUAAAGAGUGUGUGACUUACAAGCAGAAUCUGCAUAUAUAGCUACAUUCUCAUGCCUAGUUAUUAAGAGAUUCUACUCCCUCUCAUGUUAUUUCGAAAAACAUUUUUCAAAUAUUUCUAGUCUUGUGGUCCACACAUCAUCCAUGACAAUGAAAUGCUUACCACCCUCUAAAAAUUCCUUUAUUUUAGUUGUUAAAUGCUCUUCAGGCAUAUCAUGGUACUUCUUUUUCUUCAUUAUUUUCGCACUCUCAAGCAGCUCAACAUCAUGCGUGGAGUUUGCAUUCUCUUCUUGAAUCGUUGUGUAAAAUUUACAACUAAUGCAUAUGCAUUUUCCUCAUUUUAUUUAUAUAAUUAUUUUUCAUGUUAA